GAACUAGCAAUUUUCCAAUAUGGCGGAAACUGGUAACGUUUUCUUGCACAGAUUACAACCUGGUGUGCAAUUUUUUCCUAGAAAAAUGACUUUUACUUCAAACCGGUUUUGUCGCUUUGCACUCAGCCUCAAGAUCAUGCGGCAAAAUAUUCACCCUCUAUGGUGAGGUGGGGAUAUUUGACAAUAUGGCGGCUCACUAGAAGUAAACGACACUUGUGAAUUGGCCAAAAACAGACCCAAAUUCAAUGGUCAAGAGAAAAUCUCCAUUUAAAGCUCAUCGUAAAGGAGUCUCUUGUGUUAACUUUGGUCCAAAUGGACAAUUAAUAGUUUCGUCGUCAGCUGACAAAUCGAUCAAAAUAUGGAACUUUUCGGAAAAAAUUGGAAGGGACGUUGAAAGGCAUUCUCGAAUGUUGUUUGGAAUUCAGAAAGCCGACUUCUUGUUCGGAAUCAGAUGACACUAGUUUCCAACAAAACUUCCAAGCUGUAGUGAUUACUCAGUGAUCCCCUGCCAUGAUACUCAAAGGACAACUCCAGUGUUCCCAGCUGUAGUGAUCCCCUGCAAUCAUACUCAAAGGACAGCUGUAAUGGUAAGUCUAUGAGAUUCUUUUUGUGCUUAUUUUUUUACAUUUGCUACUAAAAGAAGUUUCUAUUACUUAAGGUGCUUUCAUCAUUAUUUGUUAAAUUGAAAAGAAACAUUUUGUGGCAAACAGGUGAUUUGAUGUACACCUUUAUGAAGAAUUAGGCAUGAUCAUAGAGCACUGCAUUUCAUAACAUAAAUAUCUCGUUAUAUAAAUUUAUUUGAACUCUGAUUGGUGAGGUUGAUUAGGUGUUAACAAUAGAGUAUGCAAGUGAAGUGUCAUGUUAGCAAACAACACGUUUAUUCACGAUCCUAAAAAUUCUAUAUGUUUAAAAAAAUGCAAUUGCAAUCUCAAGUCUAAUUCGUGACUAAUUUCCAAAGAAGAUUGUUUGAAACCUUUUGGCAUGAAACCUGAAGUGUCAAUGUUGGUCUGUUGUAUUUUGAAAUGUGCUACUGAGUGUGAUAAGCCCAGGGGGUG